rnacentral:rRNA from 1 species
UACGUAGGGCGCAAGCGUUGUCCGGAAUUAUUGGGCGUAAAGAGCUCGUAGGCGGCUUGUCACGUCGAUUGUGAAAGCCCGAGGCUUAACCUCGGGUCUGCAGUCGAUACGGGCUAGCUAGAGUGUGGUAGGGGAGAUCGGAAUUCCUGGUGUAGCGGUGAAAUGCGCAGAGAUCGGGAAGAACAUCAGUGGCGAAGGCGGCCUGCUGGGCUGUUGCUGACGCUGAGGCGCGACAGCGUGGGGAGCAAACAGG